GGGAUCUUAGCUCAGCUGGGAGAGCAUCUGCCUUACAAGCAGAGGGUCAUAGGUUCGAACCCUAUAGGUCCCA
rfam:Clostridium phytofermentans ISDg, complete genome.